AAUUCAUCGCGCGACUGGCGGAAGUGGAGUGCACCACACGGAGCGCGAUGUUAGUGACUGCCGACCGCCUGGGCUAUUUGG
rnacentral:ncRNA from 1 species